rnacentral:rRNA from 1 species
UACGUAGGGUGCGAGCGUUGUCCGGAAUUAUUGGGCGUAAAGAGCUCGUAGGCGGUCUGUCGCGUCGAAUGUGAAAACCCGGGGCUCAACUCCGGGCUUGCAUUCGAUACGGGCAGGCUAGAGUUCGGUAGGGGAGUCUGGAAUUCCUGGUGUAGCGGUGAAAUGCGCAGAUAUCAGGAAGAACACCCGUGGCUAAGGCGGUUCUCUAGUACGGUACUGACGCUGAGACGCGAAAGCGUGGGGAGCGAACAGG